CCUACGGGUGGCUGCAGUGGGGAAUAUUGGACAAUGGGCGCAAGCCUGAUCCAGCAAUGCCGCGUGAGUGAAGAAGGUCUUCGGAUUGUAAAGCUCUUUCGACGGGGAGGCGGUACCCGUAGAAGAAGCCCCGGCUAACUUCGUGCCAGCAGCCGCGGUAAUACGAAGGGGGCUAGCGUUGCUCGGAAUGACUGGGCGUAAAGGGCGCGUAGGCGGUGAACACAGUUAGGCGUGAAAUUCCCGGGCUCAACCUGGGGGCUGCGUUUAAUACAUGUUCGCUUGAGUUCGGAAGAGGGUCGUGGAAUUCCCAGUGUAGAGGUGAAAUUCGUAGAUAUUGGGAAGAACACCGGUGGCGAAGGCGGCGACCUGGUCGAACUGACGCUGAGGCGCGAAAGCGUGGGGAGCAAACAGGAUUAGAUACCCCUGUAGUC
rnacentral:rRNA from 1 species